GAUGAACGCUAGCGGCAGGCUUAAUACAUGCAAGUCAAGGGGGUAGCAAUACAACCGGCGCACGGGUGAGUAACGCGUACACAACAUGCCAUAUACUGGGGUAUAGCUUUGGGAAACUGAAGGUAAUCCCCAUAGUAUUGCGGGUAGGCAUCUAUCUGCAAUUAAAGUUUCGACGGUAUAUGAUUGGUGUGCGUUCCAUUAGCUAGUUGGCAGGGUAACGGCCUACCAAGGCGACGAUGGGUAGCUGGCGUGAGAGCGCGACCAGCCACACUGGAACUGAGACACGGUCCAGACUCCUACGGGAGGCAGCAGUAGGGAAUAUUGGACAAUGGGCGAAAGCCUGAUCCAGCCAUGCCGCGUGAUAGAUGAAGGCCCUCUGGGUUGUAAAUAUCUUUUUAUCUGGGAAGAAACUCCUCUAUUCUUAGAGGCCUGACGGUACCAGAGGAAUAAGCACCGGCUAACUCCGUG
rnacentral:rRNA from 1 species